CGGCCUUGACAUACUAAGAACUUUCCAGAGAUGGAUUGGUGCCUUCGGGAACUUAGAUACAGGUGCUGCAUGGCUGUCGUCAGCUCGUGUCGUGAGAUGUUGGGUUAAGUCCCGNAACGAGCGCAACCCUUUUCCUAUUUGCCAGCGGGUCAUGCCGGGAACUUUAAGGAUACUGCCAGUGACAAACUGGAGGAAGGCGGGGACGACGUCAAGUCAUCAUGGCCCUUACGGCCAGGGCUACACACGUGCUACAAUGGUCGGUACAAAGGGUUGCUACCUCGCGAGAGGAUGCUAAUCUCAAAAAGCCGAUCGUAGUCCGGAUCGCAGUCUGCAACUCGACUGCGUGAAGUCGGAAUCGCUAGUAAUCGCGGAUCAGAAUGCCGCGGUGAAUACGUUCCCGGGCCUUGUACACACCGCCCGUCACACCAUGGGAGUUUGUUGCACCAGAAGUAGGUAGUCUAACCGCAAGGAGGACGCUUACCACGGUGUGGCCGAUGACUGGGGUGAAGUCGUAACAAGGUAGGCGUAGAUGA
rnacentral:rRNA from 1 species